rnacentral:rRNA from 1 species
AUUGAACGCUGGCGGCAUGCCUUACACAUGCAAGUCGAACGGCAGCACGGGAGCUUGCUCCUGGUGGCGAGUGGCGAACGGGUGAGUAAUACAUCGGAACGUACCCAGUAGUGGGGGAUAACGCACCGAAAGGUGCGCUAAUACCGCAUACGACCUACGGGUGAAAGCGGGGGACCGUAAGGCCUCGCGCUAUUGGAGCGGCCGAUGUCUGAUUAGCUAGUUGGCGGGGUAAUAGCCCACCAAGGCGACGAUCAGUAGCUGGUCUGAGAGGACGAUCAGCCACACUGGGAAUGAGACACGGCCCAGACUCCUACGGGAGGCAGCAGUGGGGAAUUUUGGACAAUGGGGGCAACCCUGAUCCAGCAAUGCCGCGUGUGCGAAGGAGGCCUUCGGGUUGUAAAGCACUUUUGUCAGGGAAGAAAUCUUUCAGGCUAAUACCCUUGGAAGGAUGACGGUACCUGAAGAAUAAGCACCGGCUAACUACGUGCCAGCCGCCGCAGUAA